AGUGAACGCUGGCGGUAGGCCUAACACAUGCAAGUCGAACGGCAGCACAGUAAGAGCUUGCUCUUACGGGUGGCGAGUGGCGGACGGGUGAGGAAUACAUCGGAAUCUACUUUUUCGUGGGGGAUAACGUAGGAAAACUUACGCUAAUACCGCAUACGACCUACGGGUGAAAGCAGGGGAUCUUCGGACCUUGCGCGAUCGAAUGAGCCGAUGUCGGAUUAGCUAGUUGGCGGGGUAAAGGCCCACCAAGGCGACGAUCCGUAGCUGGUCUGAGAGGAUGAUCAGCCACCCUGGAACUGAGACACGGUCCAGACUCCUACGGGAGGCAGCAGUCGGGAAUAUUGGACAAUGGGCGCAAGCCUGAUCCAGCCAUACCGCGUGGGUGAAGAAGGCCUUCGGGUUGUAAAGCCCUUUUGUUGGGAAAGAAAAGCAGCAGGUUAAUACCCCGCUGUUCUGACGGUACCCAAAGAAUAAGCACCGGCUAACUUCGUG
rnacentral:rRNA from 1 species